CAUUUUCUGUACAAUCCAUCAGAGAACACAAUCUUUGAACAGAGACCCUCAAGUACCCACCAGGCAAGAACAAAUAGUGCUUCUGGUGUGAGACGAUGGAGCUGUAUCACUAAUCAAUGUACACCUGUUGAGAGGACAAUUCUGGAGGCACUUAACGAACUGGACAUGAAGAUCAAUCAUCUGACUUCAGUGGUCCAGUCCCUUGCAGCUAACAGACGUUCCAGUGCUCCAGUGCUGCUGGUGGACAGCGAGGAUGAUGUCUUUCCUCACACAACCAUGGAGGAACUAGACAAAUUGGAAAGACAAUUAUCAGAAAAAGCAAUGAUGCAAAAGAUGGUGAACAGGUUAUCCAUCAGCGGAGGUCACACACUGAAGAAAACCAUAUGGAGAAUAUGCUCCAAGGUUUUCGGUCCUGUAGCCAAACAGCUGAACUGGUGUGGUAGGGGAGAAAAGCGAGGGAUCAGGAAAACAAACAUAGGAGCACUCCUAAUAGGAGCAGCUAUGAAGAAUCCCGUGCUUCCGUCGCCAACUGAAGCAGAGGCUGAAAAACACGUUAAGGAUUCCGCUUGGCCCCAGGGAGAAUGCCUUGUUAAUCAACUUGCUUUUUUGUUGUUUGUUUGUUUCAGGAUUAUAAUAAUAAUAAUAAUAAUAAUAACAUAAACGACUGCUUAUUUUCAUUCACUGUUAAUAAAA
ensembl:lncRNA